rnacentral:lncRNA from 1 species
CAAUUUAUCAAACUUGUGAAUAGUCAUCUUAGAAGAGAUCUUGUUGUUCAACCCUACGUGGAAACGAAUAGCUGCAUGCUCUUCAUUCUCGGUGUAUUCUAGAUUCAAGAUCUAAUUUUGGAACUCAUCAUAUUAAGGUGACAAUCAACACACACACGCCAUGUUCCAUCUUUAUUUACAACCAAGAGAACCGGAACUUGAUUUUUUAACUCUUUGGUGUCCUCUGAAUUACUUCAAUAAGACGACAUAAUUGGCAAUUAUGAGCCCAGCAUGAAAUCCAUAAGCUGCGCAAUUCCCCAAAGAAAGGGUAAUCCACUUAGAAGCUUCUUUUGGAAGAUAUCCUCAUAAUCCUGCUAAAGAAGAGAAAUAGAAUGGGGCAGAGAAGAAUGAUAUUGGUUAGUUUGCAACAAAUGAUCCCUAUUUGAUAAAGAUCAAAGAACUUUUGGCUUCCACUUCCUCCUUUCUUCCUUUUCAUUGCCCUCGGCUUCCACUUGUUCUUCCUCAACUCACUCAUCUUUUUAUACACUUCAUGACUUUAGAAGGUGACGCAGGAUGAAGGACAUAUUUAUGAUCAUCCAAUAGAAGUGAUAUUUGUUAGUUCUCCCCUCUAUGUUUUAUUGAACAAUCAUAUUGCCAAGGUCUUAUGAGUAGCACAUGACAAGCUUGCACUACAUCACAUAAGAAUCUCAUCUUGCCUUAGUUUGUUUGUUUCCUGGAGCCCCGUAGGACUUCACAAAGGUUAGUAUUGUGGAGGUUAUUUAUGCACCUUUAUGUUGUUGAUUAUAGUUAAUUUGUGGUGUUUUGUGUGCCUAAAUUUUGUUGGUUUAAUUUCUUUUGUGGCAUUGCUAUGCAAAUUUUAUUAUUGUCGAGGGGAUUUGUUGUUUUUCGUGUGAUUUAUUAUUAGGAGAAAUGUAUUUAAGGGCCUAAUAGAUCUUGUAGCAUCUUUAUUGUGGCAUUAGCAUGAAACUUGUGCAUAAAAGUGUAGUCGAGUCAUUUUUGUUGCCCCAGAAGUGUUUGUGUAACAACGCGUAAAUGUGAUUGAUUAAUGUUGUACACAAGUGAAAAUGUUAAGAAUGUGACAACUAUAACGGGGGUGUCAUGUAACUUUUAAGCUCCACUAUCAUACAUGCGAGGAUUAUUGCAUAAACUAAUAAAUUCACAUACAUUUUUUGUAUGAUUGAUCUACCGAAACUCCUUAUAGACAUUUUAUCCAUAACAGGAAUCCUAUUAGAAAUAAUAUAGCGAGGGUGAUGUACGUAUGAUAGUAUAAAUGCAAUAAGUAUAUGUGUCACAUACUAUAAGCUUUAACUGAUAGGGGAUUCUGUUUAUAAAUUAACUAAGGGAAAGGGUGGCAAACCUGGAGGCGUAAUGCAUCCUUAACUGAUCAGUAAUCUCCUACAUCGCAUUUAAUUUUUUUGUUUGUUUGUUUUAGCGUGUCAUGUUUCGCAUGUGUACAGGACUAUGGAACUUGAAGCUGGUUGUAUCAUGAAUGUUCCUUGAGAAUAGGAUUAGAAAAUAAUUUUUCAGAGGAAGUGUAAAACAGAAUUAGAAGCAUUCAAUAGAGUAUGCAUCUUCUAUGUAGCAUAUGCAACCAUUUUAACUAACAGUUUGCUUUGCCUCGAGGUUGAUUUCACGGGUUGCUUCUGGGGUUCUUUUUAUCCUAUAAUCUCUUGAUUAUCGCAUAGAGGGUCUAUGCAAAAAGACUUCUCUACCCCAAGAUGUGUAAUUUAUUUACACUGUUUGCUUUUUCAAACAUCACUUUUUGGGGUAACAUUGACUAUUUUGUUGUUGUGGUUAGUGUAAGUGCGCAUUUUGCAAAUUGAUAUGGUUGGCUUAUGAUAGUUACAAUUUUGGGUGUUCUUUGUUGAGUGCUUUUUUAUUACCAGUGGAAACAACUACUUGUUUUAAUAAUAUCUUCUAUACUUGAUUUCUAUGAUCGUUUUUAGAGUUUGAUUCUAAAUUAAUAGUUUAAAUGCUCGUGCCAUGACUUUUGUGUAAAAUAUCAGGAUAGAGAAUCUUCAUAUCCUUUGGCAUCUUGAUCACUAUAUUGUGUAGAGAAGUUAGGGUGGUUCGUAAAAUUCUGGCACAUCAUAGUGUUCUAACUAAAUCAUUGAUUGCUUGUAAGUAUUCUAUUGGCAUUGAUUGUGACGAAGUUUGAGUAGUCGUUCCUGAAUAGAUGCAUGAGGUUUCCUAAUAAUGGAUUAGUUGACGAGUUUCUUAAGGAUCAAAAUAAUCGUCAUUGUGGGAAGGUUUUGAGUUGGUUGGUACUAAGAGCUUAGUCGUGCACGUGAAUUAUGAGAAUACCCCCCCCCCCCAUUUUUAAAUGGUUGAGCAUGUUAUGAAUGAUUUGUGACAACUCUUACAAUUCCUAUUGUGACUUUUAAUUCGUUAGUGGUUAAAAUGUUCAAUGCUGCUUGUAGUUUGAAAAGGAAGUAUUUUUAACCAUCUUGAUUGAUUUGCAGGCCAUGUGUGGUGAGUUAUUGAAUAAUUCCCUGUGUUCGCUAUUGUUACCUAGAACUUGCCGGGUUGGUCUUGAUUGAGUUUUGUUGGAGAAACGAUCUUAGGCUUUCUUUGAUGUUCUUGAAGUCCACUUGGUUUAAAAAUCCCACCUUUGCGCUAAAGAUAUCCUUAGUUGUCCCCUUUGAGCCUAAUCCUUUUUAUUGGCAACCAUAUUACAAUCCUUAUCCUUUUUGAGAAAGUAACCCUCUUUUGAACCCUUUCGUCCUUGAACAAGUGGUUGUGAAAGCUGAGGCUUUUAUGCUAAGUCGUUGGUGUUAUGAGAAAUUCAUUAAAGGGAUGCUUAUAACUUGAGGGCUUGAUAGAAAAAAAUUUUUAAAAAAAUAAGAAGAGAGAAAUUGAGAGUUUGAUGGAAAGUCUUAAAGAAAUAAAAAGCUUUGAAAAAAAGGAAAGAAAAUGAAUAAAUGAGACUUGAAUCCUCCAAAAGUUGAAAAUGGUUGUAUGUGGGGGUCAUCUACAGUGGAAAUAAGAAAAGGAUAAUGAAAAAUAGUGUGGAAUGCCCAUGGGUUUGAAAAGUGAGAGUUAAGAAAGAAAAUCUUUGAAAAAGAAAGAAAAUGAAUAAAUGAGUUGAAUCUUCCAAAAGUUCAAAAUGGUUGUAUGUGGGGCAUCUAGAGUGGAAAUAAGAAAAGCAUAAUGAAAAAUAGUGUGGAAUGUGCAUGGGUUUGAAAAGUGAAGAAAAGUGGUGAAAGUUGGAAAUGAUGAGUUGUUGUGUAGUGUUAAAGGAGGGUGUAGCCACUUAUACCUAAAUGAUAUCCUAACCUUUCCUAAGCCUAUAUUACAAGCUUAACAAAUUCCUUUGAUAUUUCUAACCAAAUGGAGUUGAGUCAAUAAUGAUUGAAAAUAUGGGCAAGCCUAUGGUGUGACAUGUGUGUACAUGAGAUGUUUCUUUUUGAGUGUGAGUGUUGCGUUUUUGUUGUCCCAUGUCUUGUUUAGAUGUGUGUGCGGUUUUGGGGCACUUCUUUCAUGUGAGGGAAUGUAAGUUGAAAAAGUAGUGAUUUUGAAAAUUCCUAAUUGAGUCAAGUGAGCAUGUGAAAGUGUUAGUGAGUUGAGUCAUCUUUUGAAUUUGAGUUGUUGUCACUUAAAUGAUUCUUGCUUUUUAAAAAUGUAAUGAGAUUGCGAGGAUUUCUUAUGUGAAAAAAGUUUGCAUGAGGACUAUUUGUGCUUAAUUGGGAAAGGGAAGUUGAUUUGUGGUGUGUCUUGAAAUAUGAGCCUCCGAACAUUACUAAGAGUUGGGUAUUUUUAUUAACGAGCGCCGCGUACUCUGUUAACUUGUUUUGAGGGUGAUUUGAUCUGUUAAUUUGUUUUGAGGGUGAUUUGAGCGUCAUCGGUUAUUUAAGAUUUUUGUAAAAAGUUCUAAACAUGUGUGUAUAUUACUUCCUAGUGAUGCAAAUAUCCCGCUUCUUUUCAUUGUUGUGGAGACUCAAACAGUUUGAUCAAAUUGCACUGGCAAUUCGUUUUCCUAAUCUGAUACAGCCCCAUCAGAGAAUAUGUAUGCAUGAUUAAGAGAUCGUUCUUUCUCAUCUAAUACUGAAUGAGAUGAAGGUUUGGGUGGACUAUCAAACAUGUAUACACUUAGCUUUUUCAUGUGGCAGAAUUUUUAUCAUCUUGAUUUGCGUGUACCAUUAUUAGGUGCAAGUUUUUAUUAAAUGAAAUGGCAACCUGUUUGGAAGAUGAAGAUGAAUGAGUUUCGAAUCUUGUCCAAACUUUCUUUUAUGGGUUGUGAAAGAAAAGGUAAGCAUAUUUUUCCGAACUUUUCUUUCAUCAGUUCCCUAAUAAAGAAGUUCAUCUAUCUAAUCUCUUUCUAGUCUUUCUUUUGGUGUGCACGUCACAUAAACAGUUGUUUUCCUUUACACUAAUGUUUGGUGGGAACUUUUGCAUGUUCCCACUUUUUAUUAAGUUCCAACUUCUUUCAUUUUUUUCCUGACCUUCAAUUAGGAGGAACAAAGGUAUUUUAGACUGGCUCCUAAGAUUGUCAUAGAUUCAAGUGAUACUUUUUGAUUAUUGCAACUCUGUUUUACUACACAUGAUCCUUUUUCUAAGAAAGCGUUCUUCUGCAGUGUUUUCUCGAACAAUGUAUGCAUUGAAACAGACACAUGGGAAAUUUGGUCUUUGCGUAAAGAUAGUACGUUGAGCAAUUGGUCUUGACCUGAUCAUUUGACGUUCUUCUGAUUCUACAUUUUUGAGUCUAUUGCUAUUUGUAUUAUAUUCCCUGUCUUGUUUCUGUUCUCUGUUAUAGGAGGUGAUUGCGAGGGUGGUGGAUUAUUUCUUUGGAAUAACAGAAUAUUUUUGUACUGUUUGUUUGCUUCUUCCAGUGAUCUUUUCGUGUCGUUCUUCUUUCCAUUUUACUUGUUCUCAUCCAGACCUCAAUGGAUUUAAAUUACUUGUACCAUAAUUUAAAAAUUUAUCCUUUUCUCUCAUUUUAACUUUAUUCUAAUGUUAUAAUCACACAUUAGUUUGAUAAUUUUGGAUGUCUUAUAAUUUUAACUUUUUCUAAUGUUAUAAUCACAUAUUAGUUUGAUGAUUAAAGAUGUCAAUGAAGUGAUAUUUCUCUCUUCGCAUUUGAGUGAUAUAUUAUCUGUAACUGAAGCUGUACUAUCUAAGGUGCAGUGUGAGCUGCAAUAUGAGGUAUGUACUGCACCUAAGCAAGGUGCAUGACAUUUAUUCAUAUGGAAACUCUGCCAAGUCUAAAUUCUCAACAGUUGCAUUAUUACUUAUUGGUAGCAUUAAGUCAAUCGUUGCUUACACUGACUGUUAAUCAUAUAAUUGUCAUGCUGUACUUCCAGAAAAAGAUGCUUUCCUCAAUGUGACAACUUAGAUUAUAUCUGAACUAAGAAAAAUAAUGGAGAUGUUCCAGGAGAAAUAGCUUGAUUGAGAAGCAGAACAGAAAAAUGCAGAAACACCAAAGGAUUAGUGGAAAAGAUAAAUGAAUGUGAUUAAUCAAAGGGUAAUUCCAAAAAAAAAAAGAGAAACAAAGUUGUAUAUUCUCCAUAGAGCAAUAAAUAAAUUUUUUAGUUUUUAAGAAAAUAUUGCUUUGUUAAUUUAUUUUGAUAAAGUGAAGUUACUACUCGUGAAGGUCUUGAACUUUUCUCAGGUAAUUCAAACAAGUGUUUUUUUUGGAAAUUUGAACUAAGGCUUAGGGUUUCCUGUAUUCUUCCACCUUGGAGCUCUCCCUUGAAUCUUAUUGUUUAAAUGUUGAUUAAUUUGCAGGUGUGCAAGAUCGAUGCUGAGUUUUCUGAUUGGUUCUUUAGCACUCUUUAAGCAUGUUCUAAGGCUACCAAGUACGUCAACAUUAUAGAAUGUUCCUCACUAUCAUAUACAUAUAAAACGGGAAAACAAAGACCGGUGGCAUGGUGCUGAAAUCCAGAUUUUCUUUAUUUUUUUUGACUUUCAAUUAGGAUGAACAAAGGUAUUUUAGACUGCCUCCUCUUGUUUAGAUACUAGAAUACAUUUUCCUAAGAUUGUCAUAGACCAAGUGGAAACUUUUGAUUAUUGUAACUCUGUAUGUAACACAUGAUCCUUUUUCUAAAGAAGUGUUCUUCUGCAGUUUUGUCUUGAACAAAGUAUGAAACAGACACAUGGGAAAUUGUCUUGUUUCUGUUCUCUGUUGCGAUGGUGGUGGAUUAUAUCUUUGGAAUAAAAGAAUAUUUUUGUACUGUUAGAAUACUUCACCCAGUGAUUUUUGCCUGUAAUUCUUCUUUCCAUUUUACUUGUUCUAAUCUAGACUUCAAUGGAUGUCAGCAUGUACAAUAAUUUAAGAAUCUAUCCUUCUCUCUCAAAUUCUACAAGCAUUGAUUUGGUCCAAGAUAAGUACAUGACUUCCCAUUGAGAUACAUCUUCCAUGAACAGUAAAAAUUAUACCUCAUUUUGUAGGAUGAAUAUUGAUAUUUACAAGUAUGAGAUGACUUAGAAAUAGAAAACUAAAUUUAAGAAUGCAUGGUAAGACAGGAUUAUAUUGUUUUUGUUUUCCAAGGUAUAUUACUGUAUUGCGCCUUCUUUUCAGGAAUGUUCCUCACAUUCAUAUACAUGAAAAAUAGGAAAAUGAAGACUGGUGGCAUGGUGUUGAAAUCCCGAUUGUCAUCGAAAGGAGCUGGACACUGUACCGAGUAUGUAGUUCUUGAAUAAUUGUGACAGAAGUUCUCUAGCUCAAGUGAUUUAGGGGAACAGUUUUUAUGUUGGAUUUUGAGGGCAAGAAUUUAUAGAGAAAAAGAAUUGCAAAGCUCUAAAAGACAUAAGAAAUACCUAUUAGAUAGAUAUAUCCUUCUUUGUGGGUGGCGGUGGAUUUGCCAAAUUUCUCAAAACUCUUGCUGUGGUGGUGAUAUCGCUCGUCUCAGCUCGUCGCUGUCCCAGAACGUUGCCUUUCAAAAGGUAAUAUUUGUUUCUAUUUGUGUCUUUGUUUUUCUUAUUUGCUGGCCAUUUGAUUCUACUAGAUGAGGCGUCUAAAUGUUAGAAUGUUGAAUUUAUUUCGACUUACUGUUGAUUGCAAAGCAUUGAUAUAAGAUCCUUUGUCGGUUCAUGUGUCUAUUUUUUUGGGUUGAUUUGCUCGAAGUCUUAAUGUUUUCCACAAGGCGUUAGUUGGUUUUCUUCCUUUUCUUCUUGUUUCACUGUUGUUUCUUUUGGUUGACUACGAAGUUAUGAGUCAGUCAUGUAGUUCAGUAUAACCUUCUACAGGUGAUUUCGUUUUCUUUAUUCGAUAUAUGAAGGUUGUCUUCAUUCUCUUGUUACUUCAAAUAGGUUAAAUCGCAUGAGUUGAAUGCUUUACUGCCUCACCCUCUUUUCUUAAGGUUAGAUGUUGGAAUCUAUAUUAGUUAUUAGAUUUCUAAAUUUUACAAAGUUUUUCGUGUAUGUUUUGCCUUUAAUCAUGCUAAAAGUUGAAGAUUGCUCGUCUAUAUCCGAGUUGGUCUCGAAUGCCCCUUCCUUUUUUCCCCUUUCUUCGCAGUGGCUCGGUGUAUAUUGUCCCAUUAUCAGGCAUGCCUUGUUUUGAUUAAUACAGAGAGAUGAAACUCUAUAGCCUUCCCGAUCUUGGCUUAUCUUAGUUUGAAUUUUCCUUGGCGGGAUUGCCUACUUCCUCUAAUUUCCUCUGUUGAGCUUAUAAUUUUGAUGAUAAGCUAUGUUCAAUUGAUAAAAUAUAAUGAAAUUUGGACCUUUCCAGUUAGUUAUUUUUCUCCCUGCCAUUGAUCCUAACUUGUGAUGUCAAUUGUGUUUCUUUCUUUUGUAUGAUCUCAAGUUGUAUAAUGUAUGCUUCACAUGUUGUCACAAGAAUGUGUAUGCUUCACAUGUUGUUUGAUUGUCUGGUUUUGUUUUAAGGCGUUAGACGUGGGUUUUGAUUGAGGAUAGUUACAUGGUCUUAUUCUUGCCCAUUAUUUGAAUCUUAAGGACAUUGUGAUUAUUUAGAAAAUGUUUCAUCUUCUCCUUUGUUAUUCCGCUAUAAGUUUCUAUGUCAUUCUAGUUUAGUUUCUGGAAUUAAGAGCUUUGCAAGGUGUAUCUUAAUAUGUAAUGUUAUACGGAUAGUUGGCUCUAUUACUUUGUUGGUUCAUUUUUGAAGUUGGCUAGUUUUUAAUAGUAUAGGUAUAAAUCUUUGAGUUUCAUCUUCGAUCAAGUUUAUUUAUUUAUUUGUGUCUUGAUAUCAAUUAAGGAUUGAAUUUUCUUUUCAAGUUGCUAAUUCUUUUUUUUUUUGCGAGGUUGCCACCACGAUGGUCCUUGCAUAUCUGUUGGGCCUUGAAGGCCCAAUUUUAUCUUUUCUCGAGUCAGCCCAUAUUGUUUUGUCGAAAAGAUGGUGAUGAACAGGUCCUCGGAGGCUUAAUACAGGGCUACAAGUUGAUUUCCGAGUAUACGGAAGUCCAGAAGUGGAAUGUACAUGAUUUUAUACACUGAUAUACAACUGUUGUAUACAGAAACGAAAUUGGGCUAAAACCCCAAAAGCAGCAAUGAACUUGGCCCAAGAAAGGCCCAAAUUUAAUUUAUCCUUUUACUCUUAAAGAUUAAAUUGUCAUUAUUUAUUGUUUGUUCUUUUUUCUUUAUUUAUUAUUAAAUCUAAUUUUGGAAUUGUCAAUUAACUUAAUCGAAUUCCCCUAAAGAUAAAUUAUUUUUCGUUGUGUAAGUUAACUUUAAAUAAAUUUUAUCUUUAUCACUCUUUAUUUCUUAUUUAAUCAAUUAUGCUAAGUCAUUUGAAUUCAUUUAAUUUUAGAUAGCUUGGUUUCAAGGUACGAC